rnacentral:rRNA from 1 species
GGAAUCUUCCACAAUGGACGCAAGUCUGAUGGAGCAACGCCGCGUGAGUGAAGAAGGGUUUCGGCUCGUAAAACUCUGUUGUUAAAGAAGAACACUUCUGAGAGUAACUGUUCAGAAGUUGAGGGUAUUUAACCAGAAAGCCACGGCUAACUACGUGCCAGCAGCCGCGGUAAUACGUAGGUGGGAAGCGUUGUCCGGAUUUAUUGGGCGUAAAGCGAGAGCAGGCGGUUUCUUAAGUCUGAUGUGAAAGCCUUCGGCUUAACCGAAGAAGUGCAUCGGAAACUGGGAAACUUGAGUGCAGAAGAGGAAAGUGGAACUCCAUGUGUAGCGGUGAAAUGCGUAGAUAUAUGGAAGAACACCAGUGGCGAAGGCGGCUGUCUGGUCUGUAACUGACGCUGAGGCUCGAAAGCAUGGGUAGCGAACA